AAUAAGGUAAGCUAAGGAAAGCUGUUGGGUUCAUACCUCAAAAAUAGAUAUAAAUUCUCUUUAUUA
rnacentral:tRNA from 1 species